rnacentral:rRNA from 1 species
GACGAACGCUGGCGGCGUGCCUAAUACAUGCAAGUCGAACGCUUUUUCUUUCACCGGAGCUUGCUCCACCGAAAGAAAAAGAGUGGCGAACGGGUGAGUAACACGUGGGUAACCUGCCCAUCAGAAGGGGAUAACACUUGGAAACAGGUGCUAAUACCGUAUAACACUAUUUUCCGCAUGGAAGAAAGUUGAAAGGCGCUUUUGCGGCACUGAUGGAUGGACCCGCGGUGCAUUAGCUAGUUGGUGAGGUAACGGCUCACCAAGGCAACGAUGAAUAGCCGAGCGGGGAGGGUGAUCGGCCACACUGGGACUGAGACACGGCCCAGACUCCUACGGGAGGCAGCAGUAGGGAAUCUUCGGCAAUGGACGAAAGUCUGACCGAGCAACGCCGCGUGAGUGAAGAAGGUUUUCGGAUCGUAAAACUCUGUUGUUAGAGAAGAACAAGGAUGAGAGUAAAACGUUCAUCCCUUGACGGUAUCUAACCAGAAAGCCACGGCUAACUACGUGCCAGCCGCCGCGGUAA